GAAAGAGUUGAGGAUUUUGAUCACACAAGUCGAGAAUCUAACUAUUUCGGCCUUUCCCCAGAAGAGCGCAGAGAGAAGCAAGCUAUAGAAGAAUCCCGUUUACUCUAUGAGAUUCAGAACAGAGAUGAACAGGCUUUCCCAGCCCUUUCCAGCUCAUCAGUCAGUCAGUCAGCUUCUCAGAGUAGCAAUCCAUGUGUCCAGAGAAAAUCAUCACAUGUAAGUGAUAGAAAAGGAAGCAGGCGGAGAAUGGAUACAGAAGAACGAAAAGACAAAGACUCUAUUCAUGGACAUAGUCAGUUGGAUAAAAGACCCGAACCAAGCACAUUGGAGAAUAUUACUGAUGAUAAAUAUGCAACAGUUUCAUCACCAUCAAAGUCAAAGAAGUUAGAGUGCCCUUCUCCUGCAGAACAAGUAAGUAUAUUGUUGCAUUUAACAUUGAAUGCUCCACUCUCUGGGUUUCUUUGCUCUGUAUAUAGGGUCAUUUAAAA
rnacentral:lncRNA from 1 species